rnacentral:rRNA from 1 species
UGCCAGCCGCCGCGGUAAUACAGAGGGUGCGUGCGUUAAUCGGAAUUACUGGGCGUAAAGGGCGCGUAGGCGGCCUGGUCAGUCGGAUGUGAAAGCCCUGGGCUUAACCUGGGAAUUGCAUUCGAUACUGCCAAGCUAGAGUAUGGUAGAGGAAAGCGGAAUUCCGGGUGUAGCGGUGAAAUGCGUAGAUAUCCGGAGGAACAUCAGUGGCGAAGGCGGCUUUCUGGACCGAUACUGACGCUGAGACGCGAAGGCGUGGGGAGCAAACAGGAUUAGAUA